CAAUAGCGUAUAUUUAAGUUGUUGCAGUUAAAAAGCUCGUAGUUGGAUUUCGGAUGGGACUUGCCGGUCCGUCGUUUCGAUGUGCACUGGCCAGUCCUAUCUUGUUGUCGGGGACUAGCUCCUGGGCUUCACUGUCCGGGACUAGGAGCUGACGAGGUUACUUUGAGUAAAUUAGAGUGUUCAAAGCAAGCCUACGCUCUGAAUGCAUUAGCAUGGAAUAACACGAUAGGACUCUGGCUUAUCUUGUUGGUCUGUGAGACCAGAGUAAUGAUUAAGAGGGACAGUCGGGGGCAUUCGUAUUUCAUUGUCAGAGGUGAAAUUCUUGGAUUUAUGAAAGACGAACUUCUGCGAAAGCAUUUGUCAAGGAUGUUUUCAUUAA
rnacentral:rRNA from 1 species